rnacentral:rRNA from 1 species
GAUGAACGCUGGCGGCGUGCCUAAUACAUGCAAGUCGAGCGAACAGACGAGAAGCUUGCUUCUCUGACGUUAGCGGCGGACGGGUGAGACACACGUGGAUAACCUACCUAUAAGACUGGGAUAACUUCGGGACACCGGCGCUUAUACCGGAUAAUAUCUUGAACCGCAUGGUUCAAUAGUGAAAGACGGUCUUGCUGUAACUUCUAGCUGGAUCCGCGCUGCAUUAGCUAGUUGGUAAGGUAACGGCUUACCAAGGCAACGAUGCAUAGCCGACCUGAGAGGGUGAUCGGCCACACUGGAACGGAGACACGGUCCAGAGGCCUACGGGAGGCAGCAGUAUGGAAUCUGCCGCAAUAGGCGAAAGCCUUACAGAGCAACGCCACGUGAGUGGUGAAGGUCUUCGGAUCGUAAAACUCUGUUAUUAGGGAAGAACAGAUGUGUAAGUAACUGUGCACAGCUUGACGGUACCUAGUCAGAAAGCCACGGCUAACUACGUG